rnacentral:lncRNA from 1 species
GUUAACUUAAGCGCCCGCACCGGCAAUUUUCAGCAGACCAGAAAUGCGCUUGAUUUUACCAUGUCUGUAGUUGGAAUCGGAUUGUUGUAAAUUACUUCUGUCAAAUAUACCACACGGGAAAAAAUCUGAUCCCAUUAUCAUGAUUUACGAAUCAUGAAAAUUAUAAAUUGCUCUUGGGACGAAAUCAUGAUUCAGACUCAUGAUUUUUGGAGCUGAGCUACCACUAUCAUGAUUCAGAGCAACCAUUUUCAUGAGCUCCAAAUCAUGACCAUGAAAAGCGUUACGCACACGGUGCACCUGUCAAAACGUGUUUAGCAAAGCUUGUGCAAAGCAUAGUUGGCUGCGCAUUCACGGAAAAGUUGCCCUUUUUUAAAAAAAAGUUCACUUUUAUUGCCGGUUUCCUGUGCCGCUGUUGCUCUACUGUCGUUCCUGCUCUACUAUUCCGUUCCUGCUCCGUUGAUAUCGAGCUAUUCCGGCUCUGCAGAACUACCGCCGUUUCAUUCUGUUCCUUUCCUGCCGUGGCUGUUGCCCGUUCCGGCUCCUGUGUACCCGUUCCGGCUCCGCAUUGAGGGAAAAUUCUUCCGGCUCCGCUCUACUAACUACCGCCGUUUUAUUGUCCCAGUGCCACUGUCGCCAUUCCCGCCGCGGCUGUUGCCGUCCAAUAGAUGCAUCCGUUCCGGCUCCGCAUUGAGUGACCAGCUCCGCCCUACCAACUACCGCUCCCGAUUUUGUUGCCGUUCCGGACGUUUCGUUUUCUGCCUUGGCUGGUUCCGCCCAGUAGGUGUUCCCGUUCCGACUUCCCCCACAACUACCGGUAAGUGUUACAAAAUGAAUCUAUUUUUGCAUCUGCAAUGGAAAUCAAAUGCUGA